rnacentral:rRNA from 1 species
GCAUGUCUAAGUAUAAACAUUUAUACCGUGAAACUGCGAAUGGCUCAUUAUAUCAGUUAUAGUUUAUUUGAUAGUACCUACUACUUGGAUAACCGCUACACUGAUGCAUUCAACGAGUUUACAACCUUGGUCGAAAGCCCUGGGUAAUCUUUUUAAACUGCAUCGUGAUGGGGAUAGAUCAUUGCAAUUUUUGAUCUUCAACGAGGAAUUCCUAGUAAACGCGAGUCAUCAGCUCGCAUUGAUUACGUCCCUGCCCUUUGUACACACCGCCCGUCGCACCUACCGAUUGAAUGGUCCGGUGAAAUUUUCGGACUGCGGCAAUGUCGCCGGUUUCGGGGACGCUGCUGUGGGAAGUUGCUUAAACCUUACCAUUUAGAGGAAGGUGAAGUCGUAACAAGGUUUCCGUAGGUGAACCUGCAGAAGGAUC